AACGCACCUUGCACCCUUUGGAAUUCCGAAGGGUAUGCUCGUUUGAGUGUCAUUGUACUCUCACACUCUCUACUCCUUUGGGGGUUGGAGAGCGGUGGACUUGGGUGUUUGCUGCAAUCGCUGUGGCUCACCUCAAAUAAAUCAGUGCACCUCUUGGUUGGACAUAGUACGGCGUGAUAAGUAUCUUCGCCGGCACCUCUCUCAAGAGGGUGGCCAAUUGGGAGCUCUGUGCUUUCAAACUGUCUUAGUGGACAAUCUCUGACAACUUGACCUCAAAUCGAGUAGGACUACCCGCUGAACUUAA
rnacentral:rRNA from 1 species